rnacentral:rRNA from 1 species
ACACAUGCAAGUCGAGCGGUAGAGAGAAGCUUGCCUUCUCUUGAGAGCGGCGGACGGAUGAGUAAUGCCCUAGGAAUCUGCCUAGUGGUGGGGGAUAACGUUCGGAAACGGACGCUAAUACCGCAUACGUCCUACGGGAGAAAGCGGGGGACCUUCGGGCCUCGCGCCAUUAGAUGAGCCUAGGUCGGAUUAGCUAGUUGGUGAGGUAAUGGCUCACCAAGGCGACGAUCCGUAACUGGUCUGAGAGGAUGAUCAGUCACACUGGAACUGAGACACGGUCCAGACUCCUACGGGAGGCAGCAGUGGGGAAUAUUGGACAAUGGGCGAAAGCCUGAUCCAGCCAUGCCGCGUGUGUGAAGAAGGUCUUCGGAUUGUAAAGCACUUUAAGUUGGGAGGAAGGGUAGUAACUUAAUACGUUGCUACUUUGACGUUACCGACAGAAUAAGCACCGGCUAACUUCGUGCCA